rnacentral:tRNA from 1 species
CUCGCUGUAGCUCAGUGGACAGAGCCCUUGGAGUAUCUCUGGGGAGACGCCGGUUCGACUCCGGCCAGCGAGUCCG